GAACGCUGGCGGCAGGCCUAACACAUUCAAGUCGAACGAACUCUUCGGAGUUAGUGGCGGACGGGUGAGUAACACGUGGGAACGUGCCUUUUGGUUCGGAAUAACUCUGGGAAACUUGUGCUAAUACCGAAUGUGCCCUUCGGGGGAAAGAUUUAUCGCCAUUAGAGCGGCCCGCGUCUGAUUAGCUAGUUGGUGAGGUAACGGCUCACCAAGGCGACGAUCAGUAGCUGGUCUGAGAGGAUGACCAGCCACACUGGGACUGAGACACGGCCCAGACUCCUACGGGAGGCAGCAGUGGGGAAUCUUGCGCAAUGGGCGAAAGCCUGACGCAGCCAUGCCGCGUGAAUGAUGAAGGUCUUAGGAUUGUAAAAUUCUUUCACCGGGGACGAUAAUGACGGUACCCGGAGAAGAAGCCCCGGCUAACUUCGUG
rnacentral:rRNA from 1 species